rnacentral:rRNA from 1 species
ACGGGAGGCAGCAGUGAGGAAUAUUGGUCAAUGGACGAGAGUCUGAACCAGCCAAGUAGCGUGCAGGAUGACGGCCCUAUGGGUUGUAAACUGCUUUUGUACGGGAAUAAAGUGGCCCACGUGUGGGUUUUUGCAUGUACCGUAAGAAUAGGACCGGCUAAUUCCGUGCCAGCAGCCGCGGUAAUACGGAAGGUCCGGGCGUUAUCCGGAUUUAUUGGGUUUAAAGGGAGCGUAGGCCGUGCUUUAAGCGUAUUGUGAAAUGUAGGCGCCCAACGUCUGCACUGCAGCGCGAACUGGAGCACUUGAGUACGCAGGAAGUAGGCGGAAUUCGUCGUGUAGCGGUGAAAUGCGUAGAUAUGACGAAGAACUCCGAUUGGGAAGCCAGCUUACUGUAGCGCCACUGACGCUGAUGCUCGAAAGCGUGGGGAGCAAACAGGAUUAGAUACCCUGGUA